rnacentral:tRNA from 1 species
GAGGGUAGAGCUCAGUGGUAGAGAGCAUGCCUAGCAUGCAUGAGGUCCUGGGUUCAACCUCAAGUACCUCCG